rnacentral:rRNA from 1 species
AGAACGAACGCUGGCGGCGUGGAUAAGACAUGCAAGUCGAACGCGACUUAUUGAGUUAGCAAUAACUUGGUAAGUUGAGUGGCGAAAGGGUGCGUAACACGUGGGAAUUUACCGAGAAGUGGGGAAUAGCUCGACGAAAGUCGAAUUAAUACCGCAUAUGAUCGCAAGAUCAAAGCCGGGGACCGCAAGGCCUGGCGCUUUUUGAGAAGCCCGCGGCCCAUCAGCUAGUUGGCGGGGUAAAAGCCCACCAAGGCUAUGACGGGUAGCUGGUCUGAGAGGACGACCAGCCACACUGGAACUGAGACACGGUCCAGACACCUACGGGUGGCAGCAGUCGAGAAUUUUUUCACAAUGGAC